AAAGAAGUUGAGAGUUAGUAAUAGAGAAGGUUUUCUUACAGGUCCUUCUGACUCUGUGAUAUUGUGAGAUCCCAGUGGGCACCAUAUUAGGUGGCCUUAUCGGACUUCAGGACAUUUUUGAUUAUCAGGUCCUGACUUCUCCAACUGUGAAGUACGCAGGGAUCCUGCAGGAACCUUGUGAAACGAGAUCGGCAUUCAGGAGGCCUGGCUGAGAACCCUGGAGACUAAGUCUUGAAGGCAUAUCCGCCAUGUUGGAAGCAUGUGAGGUGCUCAGGGCUGUUUAAAAGUACAACUCUGGUUUUGUCCCCGUAUCGAUCCCUGGAUGUGGAGUGAGGCACUGUCUAUCUCUCCAGGAUACAGAAUUUAUACCUUGGUGUCUCCUAUUCCCCAAAGAGCUGGUUGCUUACUUGAGGGUUUCACGGUCACUAGAUUCCUUCAGGAUGGCCUCAGUUAUUACGUCUGACAGAUCAUUCCACCUGUGAAGAACUGUAAUGCCCGUGAAUUAAAUCAGAAAGUAAAAAUGACAGGAAAUAUUUAUGUCCUUUCCUCUCUUCAUUCUGAGCCACUCGGGUGCUAGAAACCUCUGUCUCUACAGUGAAUUAACAGACACAUGGAUUUUUCCCUGAUCCAACCACACUGUGUUUUCAGAGUUCCCAGACAGCUGAAUCCAGCGGGAACCAGUGUCAAACUGCUUUCACGGGGACCGUCAUUGCUGGUAUCACGUGGGGGUCACUGUGCAAGCAGAAUCUACAGUGUCUUCCUGCAAAGGUCAGGAACUACUGCAGAGGGAGAGGCUCCGGCUGGGCACCGGGCUGUGCGGCCUCUGUGGUUGCCCAUGUGGAGAAGGAUGUGGGUGGACCCAGACCCGAGCACGGUUCUUGUGCAGCUUCUCCUGGCAACUCUGGUGCUGUGGCUCCAGUCCCAGCAGGCACAGAAGUACACAGCCUCAUCUUCUUGCUCUAAGAAAUUUAUUUUCAAGGUUGCAGUGGAAGUGUGAGCGUUUUUACUUGCCUCAAGUUUGUCGCUCUUCCCUCCUAAAGAAACUCGAACGGGCUGUGUUGAGACGAGUGUCAGAUGUUCUAUCUCUUGAUCUGGCUUCU